AAAAUACCCCUAUCGUCUGAAAAUACUUGUCACAGAAAUGGAUGUAACUACAUGUAUUUUAGUUCUAAAUACAUUCAUUUUUACACACUUAUGCGACAAGGAAUUCCGGACGGAGGGAGUAUAUG
rnacentral:pre_miRNA from 1 species